UUGGGACUCAAGGAAAGAUAUCUUACAGUAAGCAAAUGUAUUCUUUCCUUAUCGUCAUUUAAGCAGCACACACAAAGGGAUAUAAGAAGUAAUAUUAAACAAGGGGAGUAGUAGAAAUUGCAGCCUUAAUAAGCACUUGUCUGU